GCCAGGUGUGGUGGUGCACACCUGUAAUCCCAGCUACUCAGGAGGCUGAGGCAGGAGAAUUGCUUGAACCUGGGAGGCAGAGGUUGCAGUGAGCUGAGAUUGUGCCACUGCACUCCAGCCUGGGUAACAGAGCAAGACUCUGUCUCAA
ensembl:misc_RNA Metazoa_SRP Metazoan signal recognition particle RNA